rnacentral:rRNA from 1 species
GACGAACUGUGCAAACGUUAUUCGGAAUCACUGGGCUUGAAGAGUGCGUAGGCGGUUUUGUAAGUAGGGUGUGAAAGCCCCCGGCCCAACCGGGGAAUUGCGCCCUAAACUGCAAGGCUGGAGUGAGGUAGGGGUGUGUGGAACUUCUAGUGGAGCGGUGAAAUGUGUUGAUAUUAGAAGGAACGCCGGUGGCGAAAGCGACACACUGGACCUUGUCUGACGCUGAGGCACGAAAGCCAGGGGAGCAAACGGG